GAAAUGCGAUAAGCAAUGCGAAUUGCAGAACCGUGAGUCAUCAGAUUUUUGAACGCAACUGGCGCCGGUUGGUCCUCCAAUCGGCAUGCUUGUUUCAGUGUCUCUUUUUUUCAUCCCCCAUAUCAUAAUGCGAGAGAUACCCUUCUCUUGCUAAGCUCGAAAGCACUCUGCGCUCUGCGAGCGACUUCGACUUGUUCGAGGGUCGCACUCAAUGCAGCAGUCACAUUGCUCACAAUGUGAACUCAUUGAGAGCUGAGGCAGUGUAGCGUAAGCUACCAGUGCUUAGUCACACAAACUUACUUGCAUCUGAAAUCAAGCAGGAUCACCCGCUGAACUUAA
rnacentral:misc_RNA from 1 species